GGAUGUGAGGGCGAUCUGGCUGCAGCAUUUGUCACCCCAUUGAUGGCCAGGGUCGAUUCAGCUAAUCUGACUGGCUAGGCAGGUGUCUCCUUCCUCCCUCACCACUCCACAUGUGUCCCUCCCAAAGCUGUGCACUACGUCAAAGAGGACGACCUUCCCUGAUGGAGGAGGACUGUUCUUCAGUCAAGGACAUACUAGUAGCUGAGCUCCCAUGCUAGAACCUCCUAAGAAGCUCUCAAGGUCCAUCUGUAGGACAACAUAGGGUAGUCAAACUUCCAAGACUCCAGACACAUCCAAAUGGGGCACUGAGUGUGGAAGUCUGCUUUUCUUU
ensembl:misc_RNA 7SK 7SK RNA